rnacentral:rRNA from 1 species
AGAACGAACGCUGGCGGCAUGCCUAACACAUGCAAGUCGAACGCUCUUGGGAUUUCGGUCUCAAGGGAGUGGCGCACGGGUGAGUAGCGCGUGGGAACCUGCCCUGUUGUGGGGGAUAACCGAGGGAAACUUCGGCUAAUACCGCAUGCGCCCCCGGGAGUGAUCCUGGGGGGAAAGAUUUAUCGCAGCAGGAGGGGCCCGCGUCGGAUUAGGUAGUUGGUGGGGUAACGGCCCACCAAGCCUGUGAUCCGUAGCUGGUCUGAGAGGAUGAUCAGCCACACUGGGACUGAGACACGGCCCAGACUCCUACGGGAGGCAGCAGUGGGGAAUAUUGGACAAUGGGCGCAAGCCUGAUCCAGCAAUGCCGCGUGAGUGAUGAAGGCCUUAGGGUUGUAAAGCUCUUUCAGCAGGGACGAAGCGAAAGUGACGGUACCUGCAGAAGAAGCACCGGCACUACGCGCCAGCAGCCGCGGU